rnacentral:rRNA from 1 species
GUAAUAGUUAUGUUCUUGAAACUUAAAAAAUUUGGCGGUAUUUUAGUCUAUUCAGAGGAAUUUGUCCUGUAAUUGAUAAUCCACGUUGGACCUUACUUAAGUUUGUUUGCAGUUUAUAUACCGUCGUUAUCAGAAUAUUUUAUAAGAAUUAAUAAUUUUCAGUAAUUUAUAUUAGAUUUUAUUUCAGAUCAAGGUGUAGCUUAUAUUUAAGUGGAGAUGAGUUACAUUAAAAAUAUUUAUAUGGAUAUUAAUAUGAAAAAUUAAUUAAAAGUGGAUUUGGAAGUAAAAUUAUAAAGAU